rnacentral:lncRNA from 1 species
CCACAUCUACGGCCUCUCCAUCACGGGGCUCCGCUUCUUCACCGUCUACGGGCCCUGGGGCCGCCCCGACAUGGCCUACUUCUCCUUCACCCGCAACAUCCUCCAGGGGAAGCCCAUCACCGUCUACCGCGGCAAGAACCACGUCGACCUCGCCCGCGACUUCACUUACAUCGACGACAUCGUCAAGGGCUGCGUCGCCUCCCUCGACACCGCGCAGAAGAGCACCGGGAGCGGCGGCCGGAAGCGUGGCCCCGCCCAGUACCGCAUCUUCAACCUGGGGAACACCUCGCCCGUGACGGUGCCGGCGCUGGUGGGCAUCCUAGAGCGCCACCUCAAAGUCAAGGCGAAGCGCCACGUGGUGGAGAUGCCGGGCAACGGGGAUGUGCCCUUCACCCACGCCAACAUCAGCUCCGCUCGCACCGAGCUCGGCUACAACCCCACCACCAACCUCGAGGCCGGCCUGAAGAAGUUCGUCAAGUGGUACCUCUCCUACUACGGCUACAACCCCAGAAGUGGCGGCGGAGCAACGAAAGCAUCCAAGAGCUUGUAAAAACCUCCCUUUUCCUCUGUUCUCUUCGUUGUUUUUUAUCGAUUUUUUGUCCAAAUUAGCCUCUUUAUUUUUUCUUCGUUUUCUCUCCUCCCUGUUUAUUCUGAGAAAGAUGAACUAGUAAUCACACUCAGAUUAUUUUCUUUUGGAGAGGGAC